UUAGACUAAUUUUUAAAAAUUUUAGUAAAAUUUACAUUUUUUUUACGUUUUAGGGUUUUAUUUGAACGAGAGAAAUGGAGGAUGUGAUUUUAAUGGGAAGAAGAAAGAUCACGGUUUUCUCAUCUUUGUAGUUUAGUAUACUCAUCCAAUUACGUCAUCAGGAGAACAGAAGAAACUGUAAGAAACCCUUUUGUUGAGAAAAACGGAUCUGUUCACAAUUUGGAUCACGAAACGACCACUGACCAUCGGCGUAUAGUUUCGGUGAAAGCUCGGCCAACCAAUUUUUUAGGUUCGGUACGCAUUAUGGAAACCGCCGGUGAUGAUGACAGGAGUGUAAUCCGUAAAAAGGCGAAGGGUACAACUGGAAUACAUGUUUCCCAUUCCGACUCUAACAUAAACUCCUUUGUUACUAAUCUCUUGAAUUCCUUCAAUCUCCUGGAAGUUGACCCUUUCCGUCAAUCCGACAGUGACAAGGAGUUGGUUGACCGCGUGAUCAUGGUAUACAAUCUUCUAUGGAGAAAACUCACACAAAUCGAUGAGACAAAAUUAGCUCUUCCAGGGACAAAAAAACGUCCAGACUUAGGGGCAGGUGCUAUCUGUAUGAAUAAAGGGGUUCGUGCUAAUACCAAGAAAAGGUUUGAAUCUGUUCCAGGUGUUGAUAUUGGUGACAUUUUCUUUUUUCGAUUUGAAUUGUGCUUGGUAGGAUUACAUUUUCCAAGUAUUGCUGGAAUAGAUUUCAUGGGUGUUCCAUCCUCUGAAUAUGAAGAGCCUGUAGCUGUGAGUAUAGUCUCUGCAGGAGGAUAUGAAGAUGAAGGGGAUGAUGGUGAGGUGUUGAUAUACAGUGGGGCAGGUGGGGCCCAAAGGAAAGAUAAACCGCAAACUGAUCAACAACUAACAAGAGGUAACCUUGCUCUUGAAAAAAGCUUACACAGGGGUGAUAAGGUACGUGUCAUCCGUGGUAUUAAAGAUUGUCAAUAUACAACUGGGAAAGUUUAUCUCUAUGAUGGGUUAUACACAAUACACGAAUCUUGGAUUGAAAAAGAGAAAUCUGGUUGUGAUGUUUUUAAGUACAAAUUGUUUAGAGUUCCAGGACAACCAGAAGCAUUUACAUUAUGGAAAUCAAUUCAGCAAUGGAAAAAAAGUCAUGGUCCAAUUACAAGAGUUGGUGUUAAUGUUAUUCUCCCCGACCUUUCUUCACGUGCUGAAAUGUUACCUGUGUCUCUUGUAAACGAUGUUGAUGACGAAAAGGGGCCCGCUUCUUUUACAUAUACACGAACUCUCAAGUAUAAAAAUCCAUUUCCUUUGACUAAAUCUUCCUCAACUUGCACUUGCACAGAUGGAUGCCAGCCUGGCAGUAACUGCCCUUGUCUCCAAAAAAAUGGAGGGUAUAUGCCGUAUACACCUCUUGGUGUUCUUCUGACCCACAACACAGUGAUUCAUGAAUGUGGGAAUUCUUGUAGAUGCCUUAAUACCUGUAGGAAUCGGAUUUCACAGAUGGGUCUGAAGAUCCGGUUGGAGGUGUUCAAAACAAAGGAUAGAGGUUGGGGACUGAGGUCGUGGGACCCGAUUCGUUCAGGGGGGUUUAUAUGUGAAUAUGCAGGUGUAGUGAUUGAGGGUAGAAAAGGGAUUGAUCCUGAUGAUGAUUAUGUUUUUGAUGCAACUCGUGUGUUUGAGCCUGUGGAAAGUGUAACAAGUGAUGAGCAUGCAAAGUUUCCAUUUCCUUUAGUGAUUAGUGCCAAAAAAGAGGGGAAUGUGGGAAGGUUUAUGAACCAUAGCUGCUCACCUAAUGUGUAUUGGCAACCGGUUGUUUGUGAAUAUCAACAUGAUGCUUAUUUUCAUGUUGGGUUUUAUGCGAUUAAACAUAUUCCUCCUAUGCAAGAGUUGACUUAUAGUUAUGGAAAGGGACGUGUGGAUAAGGGUGGGCCCCGUAGGAAAAAGUGUUUGUGUGGCUCACCAAGGUGCAAAGGGUCUUUUUACUAAAGUUUGCAUGGAUUAUGCAUGUCAAAUGGUGCGCUUCUGUUAAAGAUUAAAGCAGAAGAAGUAAUUUGUAGGCGGAAUUGAAAUGAAAUGGAUUUUGCUUUAGAUGGUGACCAAAAUUCUUAUUAAGCAUUAGGACCGGAUGAUGAUGAUAGUAGGUCUCUUCUCUCAUAAUAUAUAUGUUUGGUAAUGGCAAUGGCAAUGGCAAUGGCAAUGUAGUAAUUUAGUAGUAAGUACAUCAAGUUGUAUUUGGGGAUUGGGUUCUCUUUUUUUGCACAUGCUGGAGGUCAUCUUUGUGACGCACAUUCUCAAUAGAAGCAUGAUUGUCCAUCAUCUACCUACCUCCUACCCGAGUCUAAUGGGAUUUCUGGGGUUUGUUGUUGUUGUAUUACUUUUUCAAUCUACUUGUUCUUAUUUUUGAUAAUGUUCUCUACAAUGUAGAUGGUGCUUCUUGAAAUGAGUGCUGGUUCUUGUGUAUCGAUUGGGGUUAAGUUGUUUGAAACCAAGACUUAUGUCAAUUAGACGAGAAUUGCAAUAUUUGUUGUCCUUGCAUUGAAAAUAGCCAUAAAGAACAUGUGUUAUGUACAAUCUAGUGAUGUCCUUGGCAAUAAAAGUAGCCUCAAGUGAGAUGGAA